rnacentral:rRNA from 1 species
UGAAACCGUGUGCCUACAACAAGUCAAAGCUCGUUAAUGAGUGAUGGCGUGCCUUUUGUAGAAUGAACCGGCGAGUUACGAUUGCAUGCGAGGUUAAGUCGAAGAGACGGAGCCGCAGCGAAAGCGAGUCUGAAUAGGGCGAAUGAGUAUGUAGUCGUAGACCCGAAACCAUGUGAUCUACCCAUGUCCAGGUUGAAGGUGCGGUAAAACGCACUGGAGGACCGAACCCACGUACGUUGAAAAGUGCGGGGAUGAGGUGUGGGUAGCGGAGAAAUUCCAAACGAACUUGGAGAUAGCUGGUUCUCUCCGAAAUAGCUUUAGGGCUAGCCUCGGAAUUGAGAAUGAUGGAGGUAGAGCACUGUUUGGACUAGGGGCCCAUCUCGGGUUACCGAAUUCAGAUAAACUCCGAAUGCCAUUCAUUUAUAUCCGGGAGUCAGACUGCGAGUGAUAAGAUCCGUAGUCGAAAGGGAAACAGCCCAGACCACCAGCUAAGGUCCCAAAAUAUAUGUUAAGUGGAAAAGGAUGUGGGGUUGCACAGACAACUAGGAUGUUGGCUUAGAAGCAGCCACCAUUUAAAGAGUGCGUAAUAGCUCACUAGUCGAGUGACCCUGCGCCGAAAAUGUACCGGGGCUAAACAUAUUACCGAAGCUGUGGACUACACCAUUAGGUGUAGUGGUAGGAGAGCGUUCUAAGGGCGUUGAAGGUCGAUCGUGAGGACGGCUGGAGCGCUUAGAAGUGAGAAUGCCGGUAUGAGUAGCGAAAGACAGGUGAGAAUCCUGUCCACCGUAUGACUAAGGUUUCCUGGGGAAGGCUCGUCCGCCC